rnacentral:rRNA from 1 species
UACAGAGGGUGCGAGCGUUAAUCGGAAUUACUGGGCGUAAAGGGCGCGUAGGCGGCCUUCUAAGUCGAACGUGAAAUCCCCGGGCUCAACCCGGGAACUGCGUCCGAUACUGGAAGGCUUGAAUCCGGGAGAGGGAUGUGGAAUUCCAGGUGUAGCGGUGAAAUGCGUAGAUAUCAGGAGGAACACCGAUGGCGAAGGCAGGUCUCUGGGCUGACACUGACGCUCAUGCACGAAAGCGUGGGGAGCAAACAGG